rnacentral:rRNA from 1 species
UACGGAGGGUGCAAGCGUUAAUCGGAAUUACUGGGCGUAAAGCGCACGCAGGUGGCUGAGUCAGUCGAUUGUGAAAGCCCUGGGCUUAACCUGGGAAUUGCAGUCGAUACUACUCAGCUAGAGUAUGGGAGAGGGUAGUGGAAUUCCCAGUGUAGUGGUGAAAUACGUAGAGAUUGGGAAGAACACCAGUGGCGAAGGCGGCUAUCUGGACGGUUUCUGACGCUAAGACGCGAAAGCGUGGGGAGCAAACAGG